rnacentral:rRNA from 1 species
AAGACCUUGCGCUUUCGGAGCGGCCGAUGUCUGAUUAGCUUGUUGGUGAGGUAAAGGCUUACCAAGGCUUCGAUCAGUAGCUGGUCUGAGAGGACGGCCAGCCACACUGGGACUGAGACACGGCCCAGACUCCUACGGGAGGCAGCAGUGGGGAAUUUUGGACAAUGGGGGCAACCCUGAUCCAGCCAUGCCGCGUGAGUGAAGAAGGCCUUCGGGUUGUAAAGCUCUUUCAGCCGGAACGAAACGGUUACGGUUAAUACCCGUGACUACUGACGGUACCGGAAGAAGAAGCACCGGCUAACUACGUGCCAGCAGCCGCGGUAAUACGUAGGGUGCAAGCGUUAAUCGGAAUUACUGGGCGUAAAGCGUGCGCAGGUGGUUUUGUAAGUCAGAUGUGAAAUCCCCGGGCUUAACCUGGGAACU